CCAGGAUUCCCCUAGUAACGGCGAGUGAAGAGGGAGAAGCCCAGCACCGAAGCCUGCGGCAGUUUUGCUGUUAGGCAAUGUGGUGUUUGGGUCGGUUCGUGGGAUUGCCACUCCACUCGAAGUCCAGCAUUGAGUAUGGUCUACUGGAUUUGGCCCAGAGAGGGUGAAAGGCCCGUACGGGUGGAGGUAUCAGACAUGUGAGGCAAUUCACCAGACCGGCCUUAGAGUCGGGUUGUUUGAGAAUGCAGCCCAAAGCGGGUGGUAAACUCCAUCCAAGGCUAAAUACUAGCACGAGUCCGAUAGCAAACAAGUACCGUGAGGGAAAGUUGAAAAGUACUUUGAAGAGAGAGUAAACAGUACGUGAAACCGCAUGCAGGUAAACGGGUGGCGUCAAGCUGCAAGCCCAGAGGAUUCAGCCGGCUAGAAUGUAGUGUAUGCGCCUGCGCAUCGAACGGCCAGUGUAGGAUUGGGUAGUCUACUGGAAGACAGUAGGCCCUGCCGCAAGGUGGGGAUAUGUGUACCGGGCGGAGGCCGGAACAUGCUAUCCGUCUAUUGGGCUGUCUAGCCGGUGCACUUUCUCUGUGGUGAACACCACGACCGGUGGAACUGCCAGUCUGUCAUAGUCAAGUCGUAGUGGGCGGGCUUUCGGGUCUGCCUGCUGUGAUCACGGGCGUACUUGGUAUACGGCGUUAGUGCAUCUUUACGGUGUGCCGACGUGUUAUCGGCUACUAGUCGCUUUAUCGGGCCUGCCUAAUGCAUGUUAUAGCCGUGUGUUUGGUGGUCUGGUGGACUUUGAUGGUAAUAAUAACUGUGCAGGGCACCGGAGUUUUCGGCCUCAAAUGCAGUCUGCAUGCGUGCUAUGAGUGUAAUGUGUUUGUGGGUGUCGUCGCGAGCUGGCUGUUGUUGGAUUUGAUUGUCGUGUUGCCUACGAAAAGUGGGCCCGGCAGUGGUUCGAUGCAGAUUGGUCUCGUUGGCGGUGCCUGCGAUGUAGACUGUGGUGGGCCAGAUAGUCUGUGGUGUAGUGGUAGACGAGCUACCCGACCCGUCUUGAAACACGGACCAAGGAGUUUAACAUGUGUGCAAGUCGUAGGGUCCUACGAAACCCGAAGGCGCAGUGAAAGUAAAGCUUUGGCUUCCUUUCGGGGAUGUCUGAAGUGAGGUGAGAUCUUGUCGUUACUCGCAUCAGCUUGCCAGUGGUAGGCAUCAAGAGCGGCAGGCGCAUCACCGGCCCGUCCCAUAAUGUGGUCAUUGGAAGAGGCCAUGGCUGGGGCAACCUGGCUGUGGUACUCACAGUGCGUCAUUGGGGCGGAGCAUGAGCACACAUGUUGAGACCCGAAAGAUGGUGAACUAUGCUUGCGUAGGUUGAAGCCAGAGGAAACUCUGGUGGAGGACCGCAGCGAUUCUGACGUGCAAAUCGAUCGUCAAACGUGAGUAUAGGGGCGAAAGACUAAUCGAACCAUCUAGUAGCUGGUUCCCUCCGAAGUUUCCCUCAGGAUAGC
rnacentral:rRNA from 1 species